rnacentral:rRNA from 1 species
UUCCGGUUGAUCCUGCCGGAGGCGACCGCUUUUGGAGUUCGAUUAAGCCAUGCGAGUAGAAAGAAAUUAGAUUCUUUGCGAACUGCUCAGUAACACGUGGAUAACCUGCCCUAUGCUCCGGAAUAACCUCGGGAAACUGAGAAUAAUACCGGAUAGAUCACAACGCCUGGAACGGUGUGUGGUUGAAAGAUUACGGCAUAGGAUGGGUCUGCGGCGUAUCAGGUUGUAGGGGGUGUAAAGGACCUCCUAGCCAUCGACGCGUACGGGUGUUGGGAGACAUAGCCCGGAGAUGGAUUCUGAGACACGAAUCCAGACCCUACGGGGUGCAGCAGGCGCGAAAACUUCACACUGCAGGAAACUGUGAUGAGGGAACUCCAAGUGCACGCACUUAGUGUGUGCUUUUUUCAACUAUUAAUCGGUUGAAGAAUAAGGGCUGGGAAAGACCGGUGCCAGCCGCCGCGGUAAUACCGGCAGCUCAAGUGGUCGUCGCUUUUAUUGGGCCUAAAACGUCCGUAGCCUGUUUGGUAAAUCUGUGGGUAAAUCAACCAGCUUAACUGGUUGAAUUCUGCAGAGACUGCCAGACUAGGGACCGGGAGAGGUGUGGGGUACUCUAGGGGUAGGGGUAAAAUCCUGUCAUCCUUAGAGGACCACCAGUUGCGAAGGCGCCACACUGGAACGGAUCCGACGGUCAGGGACGAAGCCUAGGGGCACGAACCGGAUUAGAUACCCGGGUAGUCCUAGGUGUAAACGCUGUGAACUUGGUGUCGGGGAUCCGUCAUGGGUCCCCGGUGCCGGAGUGAAGAUGUUAAGUUCACUGCCUGGGGAGUACGGUCGCAAGGCUGAAACUUAAAGGAAUUGGCGGGGGAGCACUGCAACGGGAGGAGCGUGCGGUUUAAUUGGAUCAACGCCGGA